rnacentral:rRNA from 1 species
UACGUAGGGUGCAAGCGUUAAUCGGAAUUACUGGGCGUAAAGCGUGCGCAGGCGGUUUUGUAAGUCUGUCGUGAAAGCCCCGGGCUCAACCUGGGAAUUGCGAUGGAGACUGCAAGGCUUGAAUCUGGCAGAGGGGGGGUAGAAUUCCACGUGUAGCAGUGAAAUGCGUAGAGAUGUGGAGGAACACCGAUGGCGAAGGCAGCCCCCUGGGCUGAGAUUGACGCUCAGGCACGAAAGCGUGGGGAGCAAACAGG